CUCCGAGCUGAAGGUUGUCACAAAGAAAGAGAAAAACUAAAAUCGAGUUUCGAUUGCAAAAACGAUGGAAAAGAACGGCAAAGAACACGGAACAAGCAUGCAACGUUCGUACUUUGUCAUGAAAGUACUUUUGCUUGUUUUGUGUCUGGUUGUCGUUGUUCAAUUUGUCGUAAUUGCGAAGGGCUUCUCGUCUUUAAACAACAGGUUAGAUGCUAUGGAAGAAGAAAAGACUCUGGGCUCUAAAUCUUUGACAAGCGAGAAACACGAAUACAGCACAACGCGGGUCAAACGUAGCACGGACGACACAGAUAUUAAGAAGGCAUUGAUAAAGUUGGAAAAAAG